UACGUAGGGGGCAAGCGUUGUCCGGAAUCAUUGGGCGUAAAGCGCGUGUAGGCGGCCCGGUAAGUCCGCUGUGAAAGUCGGGGGCUCAACCCUCGAAUGCCGGUGGAUACUGUCGGGCUAGAGUGCGGAAGAGGCGAGUGGAAUUCCUGGUGUAGCGGUGAAAUGCGCAGAUAUCAGGAGGAACACCGGUGGCGAAGGCGGUUCUCUGGGCAUUACCUGACGCUGGAGGAGCGAAAGUGUGGGGACGCGAACAGG
rnacentral:rRNA from 1 species